rnacentral:lncRNA from 1 species
UAUAUGUUUUAAAAUAAUUUUUUUCUUUUAUGUAAAAUAAAAAAAAAAAUUACAAAUCAAUUUUGAAGAAUAGUCAAACUGGUCUAUGCAUAAACCGGUGGCGCAGGUCAAAGGUUAUUUAAACUCCUCAUUUGCUUCUCCAACUCUUGCUCUUUCUGUCCAACUUCUCCCUCCUCUUCUCUUCUUCUUCAUCUCUCUCUAUAACCCCAAGUAGUUAUUGAAGAAAUUGUUUUGUGGGCAGCUUUGAAAAUUGAAUUCUGUUGAACUCUGAAGAAUUAUUUUGAAUUAUCUCUGCUGCUUUUUGGGGUUUCGAC